GACGAACGCUGGCGGCGUGCUUAACACAUGCAAGUCGAACGGAAAGGCCCUGCUUUUGUGGGGUGCUCGAGUGGCGAACGGGUGAGUAACACGUGAGUAACCUGCCCUUGACUUUGGGAUAACUUCAGGAAACUGGGGCUAAUACCGGAUAGGAGCUCCUGCUGCAUGGUGGGGGUUGGAAAGUUUCGGCGGUUGGGGAUGGACUCGCGGCUUAUCAGCUUGUUGGGGGGGUAGUGGCUUACCAAGCCUUUGCCGGGUAGCCGGCCUGAGAGGGUGACCGGCCACAUUGGGACUGAGAGACGGCCCAGACUCCUACGGGAGGCAGAAGUGGGGAAUAUUGCACAAUGGGCGGAAGCCUGAUGCAGCAACGCCGCGUGCGGGAUGACGGCCUUCGGGUUGUAAACCGCUUUCGCCUGUGACGAAGCGUGAGUGACGGUAAUGGGUAAAGAAGCACCGGCUAACUACGUG
rnacentral:rRNA from 1 species